rnacentral:rRNA from 1 species
AUUGAACGCUGGCGGCAGGCCUAACACAUGCAAGUCGAACGAGCGGCGGACGGGUGCGUCAUGUCUGGGAAACUGCCUGAUGGAGGGGGAUAACUACUGGAAACGGUAGCUAAUACCGCAUACCAUCAGAUGUGCCCAGAUGGGAUUAGCUAGUACGUGGGGUAAUGGCUCACCUAGGCGACGAUCCCUCGCUGGUCUGAGAGGAUGACCAGCCAAACUGGAACUGAGACACGGUCCAGACUCCGACGGGAGGCAGCAGUGGGGAAUAUUGCGCAAUGGGCGCAAGCCUGAUGCAGCCAUGCCGCGUGUGUGAAGAAGGCCUUCGGGUUGUAAAGCACUUUCAGCGGGGAGGCGUUACCCGAAGAAGAAGCACCGGCUAACUCCGUGCCAGCAGCCGCGGUAAUUC